rnacentral:rRNA from 1 species
ACGCUCGACACCUACGGGAGGAGCAGUGGGGAAUAUUGCACAAUGGGGGAAACCCUGAUGCAGCAACGCCGCGUGAAGGAAGACGGUUUUCGGAUUGUAAACUUCUGUUCUUAGUGAAGAUAGUGACGGUAGCUAAGGAGCAAGCCACGGCUAACUACGUGCCCGCAGCCGCGGUAAUCUGAGCGGGCUGGCAAGGC